UACGUAGGGGCCUAGCGUUGUCCGGAUUUAUUGGGCGUAAAGAGCUCGUAGGCGGUUCGGCAAGUCGGAUGUGAAAUCUCCACGCUCAACGUGGAGGGGCCAUUCGAAACUGCCGUGACUCGAGUCCGGUAGGGGAGUGUGGAAUUCCCGGUGUAGCGGUGAAAUGCGCAGAUAUCAGGAGGAACACCGGUGGCGAAGGCGGGUCUCUGGGCCGAUACUGACGCUGAGGAGCGAAAGCGUGGGGAGCGAACAGG
rnacentral:rRNA from 1 species